GACGAACGCUGGCGGCGUGCCUAAUACAUGCAAGUCGAGCGAAUCGGCGGUUGGGUGAGUAACGCGUGGGUAACCUGCCCUUCAGUUUGGGAUACCAUUUGGAAACAGAUGCCAUUACCGGAUCCUUAAGGAUGGACCUGCGGGGCAUUAGCUAGUUGGUAAGGUAACGGCUUACAAAGGCGAUGAUGCAUAGCCGGGUUGAGAGACUGAUCGGCCACAUUGGGACGGAGACACGGCCCAGACUCCUACGGGAGGCAGCAGUAGGGAAUCUUCCACAAUGGACGAAAGUCUGAUGGAGCAACGCCGCGUGAGUGAAGAAGGUUUUCGGAUCGUAAAGCUCUGUUGUUGGUGAAGCGGUAAUCAACCAGAAAGUAACGGCUAACUACGUGCCAGCCGCCGCGGUAAUUC
rnacentral:rRNA from 1 species